CCUACUGGUGGCAGCAGUGAGGAAUAUUGGUCAAUGGACGAGAGUCUGAACCAGCCAAGUAGCGUGAAGGAUGACUGCCCUAUGGGUUGUAAACUUCUUUUAUAGGGGAAUAAAAUGUUCCACGUGUGGGAUUUUGUAUGUACCAUAUGAAUAAGGAUCGGCUAACUCCGUGCCAGCAGCCGCGGUAAUACGGAGGAUCCGAGCGUUAUCCGGAUUUAUUGGGUUUAAAGGGAGCGUAGGUGGAUUGUUAAGUCAGUUGUGAAAGUUUGCGGCUCAACCGGAAAAUUGCAGUUGAAACGGGCAGUCUUGCGUACAGUCGCGGUGGGCGGCAUUCGUGGUGUAGCCGUGACAUGCUUAGAUAUCAC
rnacentral:rRNA from 1 species